UUAUUGAUCAAACUAAAGUCAUAUUAAGGAGCUACUGGCACGGAGUCAGAGCAGAGCUCAGAAAUCUGAAAUAUAUCAAAGUAUAUUAAAGUUAAAGAGUUUAGAGAACACUGUUUGGUUAGCUGCCUCAAAGGCAGAUGACUCUCAAUAUCACAAGAUCAGGUGAAAUUUCAGACCAAGGAAAAUCACUGGGAUUAUCUGUGAAGAGGCAGAAGAGCAUAGACGUGGUCUACCUUAUAGCCAUUUUGAAAAGCCUGCAGACACAGAGGACGGUUACAGAGAAGAAGCAGAGGAUUUUCUCAGUUUCUACACAGACCUGGUCCAGACAGCAGAGCGCUGCAGAGUGAAGACGUUCAUGGAAGCUGAGUCAGUGCAACGUCCUCUUUGAAUCCUGGAUCAGGAAGUAAAGCCGGUUCUCAGUCAUCCAGGUCAUCGUAGUCUAAGGAGCUUGGAAAGGAAAGCGUCUGGACUUC